rnacentral:misc_RNA from 1 species
UGAUGAUGCAUUGACAUGCAGGAACAAAUCAAAUAGUUAUGUAGGUGGUCGAUCACUUGGGAGUUUGAAAGGUUAUGCUGACUUAAACGAUACUGCAGAUACAAACUCAUUGGGUAGUUGGAAAGACGGUGCAGAUGUGCAAGAGCCUUUUGAUGAGGCAUUGGCGCCCAGGAACAAAUCAGAUAACAAUGUAGGUGGUGCAGUUCACCCACUUGGGAGUUGGAAAGAUUAUGCUGACUUAAAUGAUACUGCAGAUACAAACUCAUUGGGUAGUUGGAAAGACGGUGCAGAUGUGCAAGAGCCUUUUGAUGAGGCAUUGGCGCCCAGGAACAAAUCAGAUAACAAUGUAGGUGGUGCAGUUCACCCACUUGGGAGUUGGAAAGAUUAUGCUGACUUAAAU